rnacentral:lncRNA from 1 species
UAUUAAUUCAUUUUGAUACACAGUGGAAAUGUUUUAUGCAUACUUCCCACUCAUCACUAAAACAUAAUUGUAAUCAGUAAUUGAGAUUUUUUUCUGGGUACCAGGGAUUGAACUUGGUAGCACUCAACUACUAAGCCACAUCCCCAGCCCUACAUCUGUAUUUUAUUCAGAGACAGGGUUUCACUGAGCACUUAGCGCCUUGUUUUUAACUGAGGCUAUCUUUGAACUCAGGCUCUUCUGCCUCAGCCUCCCAAGGUGCUGUGCAGUGAUUAAGAUAUAUGAAAUUAGUAAAUUUUAUUGCAUCAUGAAGAAUAUUCUUAAGAGACACCCCCGCGUGAUGUCACCAACACAAAUAAACUCAUAAAGGUGAAAAAUAUCAUGACCAAAGUUUGAUGUCUCUAGCUUGAUUCAUGGGUAGUAAUGACACCCUUGCUCCUGCAUUGUCAGGGCAAAUGCCAACCUAACUAACUGAUAAAUACAGUCUUACUGACAUUAUGAAGGCAGUUUUGAUCUCUUAGAUUCCCCAAAAAUGUCUUAAGCCAGGAGUUUCCAUAGAAGCUUCUUCAAGUAUAGUGGGUAAGAUUAUCAUUAAUAGUCCAAUGUACUGUGGUUGAUUGUGGAGAAGAUUGCUACUUCAAUGAAAAAAAAAAUGGCAAGAAAAGAGAAUACAUACUUUAAAUAUAACUACUUUUAGUAUGGGCUGAAUGCUAUCUUUUGCCCUUACAGAUUUACUCUCAUCUCUGCUCAGUGCCUUUAUGGGGUGAUCUUCAUGGACUAUGUCACUAAGCUCCUGGAUCACUGGCUACGAGUGGAUUUGGCCAGUAGAAUCACAGGGAGGAGAUGAGGGGGCAAAGGGUAAAUGUAUCAGAGCAUUUAUUCUUCACUGCUUUCAUGCAAGGCAACUGAUUGACCAACACUUCAUUUCUCUCUCAGGGACCAAAUAUUACUAUCCUGGCUAUUAUUCAGAGAGUUAAGAAAAAUAAUACCUUUUUAUCAUUACUCCUUCCUGAUGUUUCAAAUUAUUUUUAUUUAUUUUCCACAUAUAUCAUAAGCUUUGUGGAUGGAUAAUGAUAAUUGUGUUUACAAAAGUUAAUUAUAUUGGUUGAGGUCUUGAAACUAUCACAUGGUGACAUUGUGUCUUCUCUUCUUCACUGAUCACUGGAUUUAUAGCCCACACUAAAACCCAAAUGAUCUCAUCUCAAAAUCCUUAACUUAAUUACCUCUAAAAAAGUCCAUACUUACAAAUUCAUAUGGGCAUCUUUUGGGGGCCACUUUUAUCUUUCUAUAAUGGCCCUAAAAAUCACAGGAUGAUCACCUCCAUUCUUGCUUCAUCCUGUCCCUGUCUCUUUACCUGGGUCUGCCCCAGCCAGGCUGCCAGUCUCCUCCUGCUUCUGGAACAUAUUUUGGAAGUUUUUGCCUCUGGAGCUUUUCCCGGGUGCUUGCCUCUGCCUGGAACACUCUGCUGACAGCCUGGACUUCACUCCUUCACUUGCUUCUAGUGUUUGCUCCAAGCUCACUACCCCCAACAAAUUUGUUUCAAAUUGAAACGCUGCUAGAACUCCAUCCUCUACUCCAGCAUCACACCUGAAACCCCAGUGGCUUUAUAUCUUCCAUAACAUUUUGCACCCUCCAAAAUACAAUAAAUUACAGCUCAUGUUUUCUGUAUGCAACAGCCCACAGGAAUGUGGACUACAGACAGAGAUCCUGGUCCGGAGUGUUCACUGAUGCAUCCUGACAAAGCAAUUUUGUUCAAAGCAAAGAUUGUAUAAUAUGCUAUCUCUGUCAUAGUAUCCUUGUUGGUAAUGAAAUAUAUGUGGCAUCUGCUAUCAAAGUAAAAUCUCUCUAUCUGAUUUUCCAAAAAAAAUUUCUGUAUUAAUUCACAAAUAAUUUACUGAAACUAUGAAGGCA